GUGGGGAAUAUUGGACAAUGGGGGGAACCCUGAUCCAGCCAUGCCGCGUGUGUGAAGAAGGCCUUUUGGUUGUAAAGCACUUUAAGCGAGGAGGAGGCUACCGAGAUUAAUACUCUUGGAUAGUGGACGUUACUCGCAGAAUAAGCACCGGCUAACUCUGUGCCAGCAGCCGCGGUAAUACAGAGGGUGCAAGCGUUAAUCGGAUUUACUGGGCGUAAAGCGCGCGUAGGUGGCCAAUUAAGUCAAAUGUUAAAUCCCCGAGCUUAACUUGGGAAUUGCAUUCGAUACUGGUUGGCUAGAGUAUGGGAGAGGAUGGUAGAAUUCCAGGUGUAGCGGUGAAAUGCGUAGAGAUCUGGAGGAAUACCGAUGGCGAAGGCAGCCAUCUGGCCUAAUACUGACACUGAGGUGCGAAAGCAUGGGGAGCAAACAGGAUUAGAUACCCUAGUAGUCC
rnacentral:rRNA from 1 species